GAGAGCGCGCCGGGCGGGCGCGGGCGCGGGCUCGCCUCCCCCCGGGCUCCGCGGACCAGGUAAAUAUUAAAUAAGAGGACUCGGCACGUGGUGGUUUAAUGGAUGCGGAUCAAGAGUCAAGACGCCAAGCCAAGAAAGAAUUUGAUCCUGGAGCCUGGGAGGAUUAUGCAUUGUGGAAAACCCAGAAUGAGAGCUGAUUCUGGAGGAGAGAGGAGGACUGGUGGCUGACCUGGGACAGGCAGGGCGACGUGUCCACGCGGUCCCAGGGACGACGCCUGGGCCGAUUCAGGGAUGUCGCCAAGAGGCAGAGUCUGGCUCCGUUCGAGGAAGAACUGUGCACUGAUUGCUGAUAUUCUAACCACGAAGGAGGCAAUAAAGGAGUUUCCGUCCCCAGAGGAGGCCUCGAGCAGAGGGUGGACUUGCUGAAGAUGCUGCAAGAAGGGACCCAGGCUCCAGCAUCCAGUCGCCCCGUCCGCCCCCCGAAUUAGAUGAAUCAGAGGUGGUGACGGCAUGGCAGCGAGUCUCCUCCCGGCUGCCCCCUCUGGCCAGUUUUGAACGUCGGCCUGCAGCGGCGCAUCGAGAGGGAUUUCCAAGCCAAGUCUGGAUUCCCCAGAAGAGACUGUGAUCGAUUACUGAUGUCUGCUGUGGGCAAGCCAUGGGAGCCUGGCCGCUCCCCAGGUGCAGCCUUACCGACCGGGCCCCUGGGUUCUCGUCCUGGCUGCUCCCUGGAGGAAUCGACUUCCCCUUUUGAGCUUGCCACCCGGUCGGGAUGACACAGGUGCCAUCUGACCCGGGUCAUCAUAGGGAAGAGGCGAGAGAAGGUGAGGCGAAACCUGCCCUUUGUCCGGGGGGUGAUAGGUACACUUAGGUGACACAGUUGGUGGGACAGGUACGUUGCCCCGUUUCGGGGGUGGGGAGCAGGGGUGGAUGACUUGUAGUAGAGGCAUCGGCCUCGCCAGGCAGGCCUGCACGGCGGACGGGUUGCUCUUCUCUCUGCCCCUGCAGCAUCUUGGCUCCCUCCCGCCACCCCCGCGUCGAUGCCCCAAGCACGCUGCAACAAGCCCCGCUGGCCUGGCUCCACGGCUGGGUGUGAAAUUUGGCUGAGUCGGCACCUGGGAGAAUUGGGGCAAUUGCCAUCCUGGAGCCCGGGGCCUGGCCCGGGGCCAAAGGGCAGACUAGAGGUGGUGGGAGGGAGGGCCCGAGUGCCAGGGAGCCAAGCAGGGCUGGGCGGCUGGCAGGGGUGUGUCAGGAGAGCACCUGGCUUGAAGCUGGCCGGCCUGAGGGUGCUGAGAGCCCCAGGCCUGAGCUCGGAACAGCGCCCAGCUGUGUACGUGUGCCUGGCCAUUGGCCGUGCCCGAGCACGUCCUCGAGUGUGCCCUUGUGCGUGUGCAUUCGCCUCCUCUGGGAACGUGUGUUCUGGUAAAUGUGCGGCUGUGCAUCAAUAUCGGUAUAAGAACAGGCAUGUCUGUGUAGUCGUGCACACCUGUCCGUGUGUGCAUAGCUGGGUGUGUGCCUGCACAUCUGCGUGGGGGUGAACUCGGGUGCACACAUCUGUCAGUAUCCAGGUACGUGUGUCUAGGCAUUUCUUUUUUUUUUUUUUUAAGAUUUUAUUUAUUCAUGAGAGACACACAGAGAGGCAGAGACACAGGCAGAGGGAGAAGCAGGCUUUUGUGGGACUCGAUCCUGGGACCCCGAGAUCAUGUCCUGAGCCAAAGCCAGAUGCUCACCUACCGAGCCACCCAGGUGCCCCGCGUGUGUCUAGGCAUUUCUGCCUGUAUGCACAGGUGUCCUUUCAAUCUCUGUCCCGGCGUGUGCCUCCUGGUGCGUCCACACGGGUGCAUGCCUGCCCACCUCUGUCGGUAUCCAUGGACGUGGCUCCACGCCCUUCUGUUGGCACUGAGGCGCGCAUCACUGUCAGCACGUCUGUCCUCUCCAGGGCCUCUGUCUGGGUGUCCCUGGAUGUCGUAUCUGUUAAGUCUGCCCCGUACGUGCAUUAGCGAGUGCUUCUGGGGCUGUGCCCAUCGCCUGGUGCAUUUCUGGGGGUGCACCUCUACCUGCGAGGGUGUUGGGAUCUACCUCCGCCUGCAGGCGUGGCUGCAUCAAGGUGAGCAUGAUGGACUCUCAGAUGUGGCUGCCAUAGCUCCCUUUUUCUGUCUCCAUCCUUCUUUCCUUUCCUCCUUCCUUCCCUUCUUGCAACUCCCUCUUGCAGAGCCGGCCCAGGCUGCGGUGGCGGUGACAGAUGAGCCUCGGAAGCCCGCUUCAGCCUCUGGAGGGGGGCUCCCUACGUUCCUCUCCCACGUGGACUCGGCCCCAGAGCCCCAGAGGCUCCCGGCUUUCUUAACGCGAGCUGUUGCCUCGCCCGCUGCAGGUGAGUCCUCACCCCAGCGGCAGCGAGAACCCGGGUCGCCUCCUCCUUCCCCUCGUGGCGCCCCUCCCAGCCCUCCUACCUGCUGGCGGGUAGCCUUUCCACCUGCUGGGACAGCUGCCGGCUUGGACUUCAGGGCACGUGUGCCCCUGCUCAGCGGUCUGUGUCUCGACGGUCCCUCUGCCAUCUCUGGAACGUUCCUGGGAUUUGACUGGGGGCUACUCCGCUCUUGCCCUGGCGAGACCGCCCUGCCCAGGUCCCUGGCUCAGUCCCGGGCCACUUCACUGGGAUGUGGAUCCCCGCACGGGCCGGCGGCUGUGCAGGGACGGGGUUCGGGGUCGGGGGUGGGGUGGGGGGCUUCCCUGUCUGCCCCGGGCUCCCAGGCCCUGGACCAGGACUGUGGUGGGUGGAUCAUUCCAGGGCCUCCGCUCUUCUCUUGCCAUCACCAUAUGCCUCCCCCUCCCCUUGCCAUCUCUUCCCUUCCCUGAUGGUUUUGAAUGGAAUGUCAAAUAAAAUAAAAAAAUUGAUUAAAAG
rnacentral:lncRNA from 1 species